GUAGAUAUAGUUUAAGCAAAACACUAGAUUGUGAAUCUAGCAAUAGAGACCAAAAACUCUUAUCCACC
rnacentral:tRNA from 3 species